GAUGAACGCUGGCGGCGUGCCUAAUACAUGCAAGUCGAGCGAACAGACGAGGAGCUUGCUCCUCUGACGUUAGCGGCGGACGGGUGAGUAACACGUGGAUAACCUACCUAUAAGACUGGGAUAACUUCGGGAAACCGGAGCUAAUACCGGAUAAUAUAUUGAACCGCAUGGUUCAAUAGUGAAAGACGGUUUUGCUGUCACUUAUAGAUGGAUCCGCGCCGCAUUAGCUAGUUGGUAAGGUAACGGCUUACCAAGGCGACGAUGCGUAGCCGACCUGAGAGGCUGAUCGGCCGCACUAGAACUGAGACACGGUCCAGGCUCCUACGGGAGGCAGCAGAAGGGAAUCUUCCGCAAUGGGCGAAAGCCUGACGGAGCAACGCCGCGUGAGUGAUGAAGGUCUUCGGAUCGUAAAACUCUGUUAUUAGGGAAGAACAAAUGUGUAAGUAACUAUGCACGUCUUGACGGUACCUAGUCAGAAAGCCACGGCUAACUACGUG
rnacentral:rRNA from 1 species